GACGAACGCUGGCGGCGUGCUUAACACAUGCAAGUCGAACGAGAGGACAUGGAAAGCUUGCUUUUUAUGGAAUCGAGUGGCAAACGGGUGAGUAACGCGUAAGCAACCUGCCCUGCAGAUGGGGACAACAGCUGGAAACGGCUGCUAAUACCGAAUACGAAGCAGCUCCCGCAUGGGGGCAGCUUGAAAGGAUGGCCUCUGAAUAUGCUAUCGCUGCAGGAGGGGCUUGCGUCUGAUUAGCUGGUUGGAGGGGUAACGGCCCACCAAGGCGACGAUCAGUAGCCGGUCUGAGAGGGUGACCGGCCACAUUGGGACUGAGACACGGCCCAAACUCC
rnacentral:rRNA from 1 species